GCCCGGCUAGCUCAGUCAGUAUAGCAUGAGAUUCGUAAUCUCAGGGUCAUGGGUUCAAGCUCCACGUUGGGCA